rnacentral:rRNA from 1 species
GAUGAACGCUAGCUACAGGCUUAACACAUGCAAGUCGAGGGGAAACGAGAGGAAAGCUUGCUUUCCUUGUCGACGACCGGCGCACGGGUGAGUAACGCGUAUCCAACCUGCCCCCAACUAGGGAAUAACCUUGCGAAAGUAAGACUAAUACCCUAUAAUUUCCUCAGAUGUCAUCUGACGAGGAAUAAAGAUUUAUCGGUUGUGGAUGGGGAUGCGUCUGAUUAGCUUGUUGGCGGGGUAACGGCCCACCAAGGGAGCGAUCAGUAGGGGUUCUGAGAGGAAGGUCCCCCACAUUGGAACUGAGACACGGUCCAAACUCCUACGGGAGGCAGCAGUGAGGAAUAUUGGUCAAUGGGCGGAAGCCUAAACCAGCCAAGUGGCGUGCAGGAUGACGGCCCUAUGGGUUGUAAAUUGCUUUUAUACAGGAAUAAAGUUAGCCACGUGUGGUUAUUUGUAGGUACUGUAUGAAUAAGGACCGGCUAAUUCCGUGCCAGCAGCCGCCGUAA